AUUGAACGCUGGCGGCAGGCCUAACACAUGCAAGUCGAGCGGAUGAAGGGAGCUUGCUCCUGGAUUCAGCGGCGGACGGGUGAGUAAUGCCUAGGAAUCUGCCUGGCAGUGGGGGAUAACGUCCGGAAACGGGCGCUAAUACCGCAUACGUCCUGAGGGAGAAAGUGGGGGAUCUUCGGACCUCACGCUAUCAGAUGAGCCUAGGUCGGAUUAGCUAGUUGGUGGGGUAAAGGCCUACCAAGGCGACGAUCCGUAACUGGUCUGAGAGGAUGAUCAGCCACACUGGAACUGAGACACGGUCCAGACUCCUACGGGAGGCAGCAGUGGGGAAUAUUGGACAAUGGGCGAAAGCCUGAUCCAGCCAUGCCGCGUGUGUGAAGAAGGUCUUCGGAUUGUAAAGCACUUUUAGUUGGGAAGAAGGGCAGUAAGUUAAUACCUUGCUGUUUUGACGUUACCAACAGAAUAAGCACCGGCUAACUUCGUG
rnacentral:rRNA from 1 species